GAUGAAGAACGUAGCGAAAUGCGAUAAGUAGUGUGAAUUGCAGAAUUCAGUGAAUCAUCGAAUCUUUGAACGCACAUUGCGCCCUUUGGUAUUCCAAAGGGCAUGCCUGUUCGAGCGUCAUUUGUACCCUCAAGCUUUGCUUGGUGUUGGGCGUCUUGUCUCUAGCUUUACUGGAGACUCGCCUUAAAGUAAUUGGCAGCCGGCCUACUGGUUUCGGAGCGCAGCACAAGUCGCACUCUCUAUCAGCAAAGGUCUAGCAUCCAUUAAGCCUUUUUUUCAACUUUUGACCUCGGAUCAGGUAGGGAUACCCGCUGAACUUAAGCAUAUCAAUAAGCGGAGGA
rnacentral:misc_RNA from 1 species